GUGGGGAAUCUUCCGCAAUGGGCGCAAGCCUGACGGAGCAACGCCGCGUGAAUGAAGAAGGCCUUCGGGUCGUAAAGUUCUGUCUUUAGAGAAGAAGUCUCUCUAUGUGAAUAAUGUAGAGAGGUGACGGUACCUAAGGAGGAAGCUCCGGCUAACUACGUGCCAGCAGCCGCGGUAAUACGUAGGGAGCAAGCGUUGUCCGGAAUUACUGGGCGUAAAGGGCGCGUAGGCGGAUAAUUAAGUCAGGUGUGAAAACUCUGGGCUCAACCUGGAGAUUGCACUUGAAACUGGUUAUCUUGAGGGCAGGAGAGGAAAGUGGAAUUCCUAGUGUAGCGGUGAAAUGCGUAGAUAUUGGGAAGAACACCGGUGGCGAAGGCGACUUGCUGGGCAGCAACUGACGCUGAGGCGCGAAAGCCAGGGGAGCAAACGGGAUUAGAAACCCUAGUAGUCC
rnacentral:rRNA from 1 species